rnacentral:misc_RNA from 1 species
ACCGAUGAUCAUGACCUUGAUUUUAAGAUAAAACAUGUCCGUCGUUUCCUCGAAGAAGGAAACAAGGCGAAGGUAACUUUGGUAUUCCGUGGCCGCGAGAUUACCCAUCAGGAUAUUGGUCGCGCAGUCAUUGAAAAAUUUGCAGCUGAACUGGCUGAUAUUGCGGUUAUUGAGACUGCUCCCCGUGUUGACGGGCGUCAGCUAUUUAUGAUUGUUGCCCCUAAAGUUAAGAAACACUGAUUUUUAGAUAGUAUUACUCACAACGUUAUUAAGAAGGAGCAAGUCAAUGCCUAAAAUCAAAACUAACCGUGGCGCUGCCAA